rnacentral:rRNA from 1 species
AUGUCGAGGGAAAAGAAGCGUGCGCGUACAGCGAGGCCGGCCGCGCGGCGGCGCUGGUCGUCCGCGUUCCCGGACGACGUCCUCGCCGUUGUGUACCGCAUGGUCACCUCCCUGCGUGACCGUGUGCGCUUCGCCGCCGUCUGCCGGUCGUGGCGGGCCGCGGCGCGAGGGGCGCCGCCCAGGGCCGCGCUGCCGUGGCUGCUCCUCGAGCCCUGCAAUUGCAGCAGGUGGAAGCGCCUGCACUGCCCCGAGGAUGGUGCCAUGGUGUGGCUCCAGCUUCCCCGGGGCAGUAGGCGGCUCAUCGGCUGCCAUGACGGCGGCUGGGUCAUCUCAACCGCGCCGCUCAGAAUCGCCAACCUCUUCUCCGGCGCCAAGGUGACGCUCCCUGAGAAACCGGCGGGGGUCUUCUCCGAGAGCAAAAUUGUAUUCUCCAACCCGCCCUCCUCGGGCGAUUGUAUCCUCGCCACCGUGAACGAGCACCGUGGCAUCGCGCUUUGUAGGGUUGACGGUCCGGACAGCGUGUGGACGAGACAAACAUGCAAAUCCUGCGGCACAAUUGACGACAUCACGUUUUGCAAUGGCGAGCUGUAUGGCCUCACGAAGUACAACGGGAAGGUAACCAAAUUUGAGAUGGGCGUGGAUAAGCACGGAGCGCCCGUGGUCACUGAUGAGAUCCAUCUCAGCUGCUCUGCGUGGAUGGACAACAUCGGCGAGAAGACCAGCUACAUCUUUGAUUUACGUGGCAAGCUUGCAAUGGCCAUUAGAACCCAGUGGUCACUAGACCACGAACCUUUCUUCAAGGUGUUUGAGCUCGUCGACAUCCAUGACGAUGAACUAGCGGUGUCUGACAAGCACACGUGGAUAGAGGUCACAAGCUUGGGUGAUCACGCCUUGUUCUUAGGACAAACUUUCUCUAGGGCGGUGCCCGUGCCGGCAGACAAACUUGGUCACGUGGAGAGAAACCACAUCUAUUACUCUUGUUGCUUGAAUCCAAGUGAUGAUGUCCCUAGUGGUGUGUUAAGAACGUUCUCGAAUGGCUGCAGUCGCCAGAAAUAUUACAGGGGGGACGACAGGAAGAAGGAUAUCACCAACGAUGACGUGAAGAGAAUCAAAUCAACAGGAUAUUUCGUCAAGGGCAGUCCUUACAGUAGCAUGUGGAUUCUCCCUCCGGAUAUGUAG